AUUUGGAAAACAGAUGCUAAUACCGGAUAAAAGCUACUUUCGCAUGAAAGAAGUUUAAAGGGCGGGCGUAAAGCUGUCGCUAAAAGGGAUGGGACCCUGCGAUGCAUUAGCUAGUUGGUAAGGGUAACGGGCUUACCAAGGCGAUGAUGCAUAGCCCGAGUUGAGAGACUGAUCGGGCCACAUUGGGGACUGAGACACGGGCCCAAAACUCCUACGGGGAGGGCAGCAGUAGGGAAUCUUCCACAAUGGACGAAAGUCUGAUGGAGCAACGCCGCGUGAGUGAAGAAGGUUUUCGGAUCGUAAAAGCUCUGUUGUUGGUGAAGAAGGAUAGAGGUAGUAACUGGCCUUUAUUUGACGGUAAUCAACCAGAAAGUCACGGCUAACUACGUGCCAGCAGCCGCGGUAAU
rnacentral:rRNA from 1 species